UCCUCUCACCUCUGGUUAUUUUGUUUAUAAAGUUUUUGUUCCUCAUUUUUGUGUUCCACCACCAUGUUCAUCUUCAAAAGAGAGAGAAGGGGAUCCGGCGAUUCUUUACCUGCAACCAACCACCCCCCCCCCCAUCCGUCUCUGCAGUAACCCCCCAGCGUCUUCAUCUCUUCCGAUCUACCUCAAACACCCCCUCCCCUCCGGUCAAUGUCUACCAACAACCUGAAACAAAUCCGACCACCACCACCGUCUUCAUCUCUUCCGAUUUGAUGUUGUGGUGGUGGCGGCGGUUCGACGGCUGGUUGGUGGUCGGCGGUGGUUGGUUGGUGGCGGUGGUUCUACGGUUACGGUGGUGGUUGGUCAGCGGUGGUGGAUCUACGGUUACGGUGGUGGUUGGUCGGCGGCGGUGGUGGUUCUAACCGUGGGUAGUGGCUGGUAUUUUGAUAUGUGUUCUUGAAUGAAUGAUGAAGAUACCGAUGCUAUUUUGGUUUGAUUUCUGUUGAAUAUGGUUUUGAAUCUUGGGGGUUUGACUUUCUGGUUUGAUUCUGUUGAAUCUGGGCUUGAAUGUUGUUCAUGUUGAAUAUGGGUAUUCAUGAUGUUAUUGAGACCUUU